rnacentral:rRNA from 1 species
UUUAAAUAGCUGCAGUAUUUUAACUGUACUAAGGUAGCAUAAUAAUUAGUCUUUUAAUUGAGGUCUAGGAUGAAUGGUUUAACAAGAGAAUAACUUUAUUAAUUUACUUAUUUUAAAAUUUAUUUUUUAGUUAAAAAGCUAAAAUAUGUAAAUGGGACGAUAAGACCCUAUAGAUCUUGAAAUUUUUAAUUUAUAUUAAUUUGUUAAAUUUAUUUUUAUUUUUUUUUUAAUAAUUUUUUGUUGGGGUGACAGACAAAAUUUUAAAACUUUGUUGGUUAUUUACAUUUAUUUUUGGUAAUUAUGAUCUAAAAUUUUUGGUUAUUAAAAUAAGAUACCUUAGGGAUAACAGCGUAAUAAAUUUGUAUAGUUCAUAUAGAUAAAUUUGUUUACAACCUCGAUGUUGAAUUAAUAAAAAUUUUUGGAGCAAAAAUUAAAAUAUUAGGUCUGUUCGACCUUUAAAGUAUUACA